rnacentral:rRNA from 1 species
CCUGGUGGUCACAGCACAAGGGUCACACCCGUUCCCAUUUCGAACACGGAAGUUAAGCCUUGUUACGCCGAUGGUACUGUAUGGGAAACUGUGCGGGAGAGUAGGUAGCUGCCGGGU